CGGACGGGUGAGUAACACGUGGAUAACCUACCUAUAAGACUGGGAUAACUUCGGGAAACCGGAGCUAAUACCGGAUAAUAUAUUGAACCGCAUGGUUCAAUAGUGAAAGACGGUUUUGCUGUCACUUAUAGAUGGAUCCGCGUCGCAUUAGCUAGUUGGUAAGGUAACGGCUUACCAAGGCAACGAUGCGUAGCCGACCUGAGAGGGUGAUCGGCCACACUGGAACUGAGACACGGUCCAG
rnacentral:rRNA from 1 species